rnacentral:rRNA from 1 species
AUGCACGCUGGCGGCGUGCCUAAUACAUGCAAGUCGAGCGAACGGACGAGAAGCUUGCUUCUCUGAUGUUAGCGGCGGACGGGUGAGUAACACGUGGAUAACCUACCUAUAAGACUGGGAUAACUUCGGGAAACCGGAGCUAAUACCGGAUAAUAUUUUGAAUCGCAUGGUUCAAAAGUGAAAGACGGUCUUGCUGUCACUUAUAGAUGGAUCCGCGCUGCAUUAGCUAGUUGGUAAGGUAACGGCUUACCAAGGCAGCGAUGCAUAGCCGACCUGAGAGGGUGAUCGGCCACACUGGAACUGAGACACGGUCCAGACUCCUACGGGAGGCAGCAGUAGGGAAUCUUCCGCAAUGGGCGAAAGCCUGACGGAGCAACGCCGCGUGAGUGAUGAAGGUCUUCGGAUCGUAAAACUCUGUUAUUAGGGAAGAACAUAUGUGUAAGUAACUGUGCACAUCUUGACGGUACCUAAUCAGAAAGCCACGGCUAACUACGUG